ensembl:lncRNA LINC00943 long intergenic non-protein coding RNA 943
AGUCACACUCCAGGGAACUCACAUGGGGGCUGGGCAGGGGGACCUAAGAGAUAGAUAAUCGGCACAUAUCGCUUCUCGGCCUUUUGGCUAAGAUCAAGUGAUAAUCAGCAAGUAAAUGCAGAGGAAGGAGAGCUGGGGAACUCUGGGCACAACUUUACAGCUUCGUGGUUCAUAUUCUUUUCUAGGAGAAAGGAAGGGUGGAUGAGGCCCCAAUCCAUCGGUUGGAAAUAAUGGGCUAUGUUUUAUUCCUCAGUGCACUGAGAAGGAGAGCAACAUUUAAGCGUACUCAUUCUGCUGCUAUGAGCGAGGAGACUGGGCCCAAAGGAACAAGAAUGGACACAGGAAAGGUCAGCUGAGGUUAUGGCAGGUAUCCAGGUGCAUGAAGAUGGUGGCUUGGACCAGGUGGCCAUGGUGGAGAGAACAGGAAAUGAUCAUCCUUAAUAUGAAUUAGGAUGAGUGUGAUUAAUAGAGGACAUACUUUAUUCAGCUGGGUGCUGAAAAAGAAUCUUGGAAAUUAGGAAACUGAAUGAGGCCUCAUUUCACACUCAGAAUGUGGGUUGCAAUAGUCACUUCCUCUGCUGCUGGGAAAGAAAGAAUUAUACUACCUUUUGAAUUUUGGAUUAAGGAGAGAGGUGUUGGCUUGUCAAACUACCAUGUAUUCCUCAAGACAUAUUUUUGUGGCUUUAUAAAAUUCAAUAUAUAUGUCUAAAUUCAAAAAUAUUUUGUUGCAAUCUGGCCCUUGGACAAACUGAGGCCCUAGCAACUGAUGUUUAUGGCUUUCCGUAGAACCUUUCAGAUAAAAUUUACACAGCAUUUUACUGCAGCUAUUUCACACAAAGCAGAGGAUUUUGCCACAAAACUGAAAGAAAAAAGAAACUGCAUUCUUAAAUUUUUCAUAAAUCAAAAGGUAUAAAAAUAUCUACCUAAACGAUAAAGGAGAUGAGAAACCCCACCCAUGAUGGGAAGAAAGCCUAUUUCAGUUUUGCCUUUACUUCAAGUUCUUUUUUCCAUAUCUGGAAUGCAAUCAGAAUUUUAAUCUUGCCUUGGGUUCCUCCUGGAUUUGGGGAGAAGACAAAACCUGAAAAUCUCUAAUCUGCAUGUGUUCAGCUGCGUAUCUUCUGGAUACGGAAGGAUCACACUGCACAGAGUGCUGGACUUGCAGGAGCCCCGCUUCUCAACCUCCAUCGCUUUAUGAAUGAAUUCACCAGAAAGAAAAGGAAGAAUCAACACUUUCAGAGAUGGAGCCUGUUGAGCCACAGUACCAACUAGUCAAUGCUGAAUCGACUUCUCCCUUUCUACAUUGCCUGAGAGAAGUCAUUGGGGAAUACUCUGUACACGAAUUUUCACUGUUGGGGAAAACAGAGAGUCAAGGGAUUGGAUUGUGGAUUGCAUUGGUGGUUUUCCUCAGUUUCCUCAUCUUCUCCACAAGUUUCUACAUAUCGAAUGCAGAGCAGCCCUUCUUCAAAGGACCUCCUACGGAAGCUGCUAAGGAACUCAGUCUGUAGCUCUGCGUGGAGCCAUGUGUAAACACUGAACUGAGACCUGCCACCUCCUACUACCUAAGGGCCCAUUUUCAUCUGAUAUCAUCCCCCAGAAACAAACUCAUGAUGACUUCCAUGUUUUUUUUAGAUUAGAUACAUGGAGAAUUUUCCUUUCCCUUAGAAUUAAAAUCCUGCAUUCUAAUUUUCAGUAAGCUUUUUUAUUUCUGAAUAAUUUUAAAUUUAAAGAGAAGUUGCAAAGAUAGUAUAGAAUGUUCCCUUAUACCUGUUUUUAUUUAGAGUGAUGUUCCCAGGAGAAAUGAUAAUGCAGCAAUGGACAAGAACAGGAACAAGAGACAGUCUUACCAUCUUCUUACAAUUUAUAGAUGGGACAGUGGAAAGAGAAGCCACAUCGGGGUUGGGCAUGCAGAGACCUGGUCCUAAAUCUGUGUGACUUUUGCGAAAUCCUUUUGCCUCACAGAGCUCUAGGUUCUUAUCUGUCAAACAGGAACCAGACCAUCAGAUCCGUAGAGAUCCAACCAAUGAAGGAGACUUCGAAAACUUCACAUUGCCGUGUCAAUGUGAGGUUGCUGGAUGGUUAUGACAAGAAAUCACAUUAAAUUCACUGGGGUAACAUUGUUCAUGAAACGGGAUAAUGUGUUUCAGCGAUGAACCACCCAUGGCCUUACUACAGACAUAUUUCCACUUUGAAAAUGUGUGUGAGUGUACAUGUCUGUGUGUGAGGCAGAGAUUAGAAAGUGUAAAUGUGUGCGUUUUCAUUUUACACAUCUUACAUUUUCCUUUAAUUUGUUUGAAAGCCUGUUUUGUUUGUGGCUUCCAUUCCUGGAAGUCCCAUGAGUUGUUAGUGGUGAAGAUGGAACAGAUGUGUCCAACCCGGGGGACUCCUGCCCUCAGGGACUGAGCAGCUGCAAACCUCUCUCUCAUCUGAUUCCACUGUUUCUUCCACAUGUACACAUCAUGAGAAAUAUUGUUCAAUCAAUAUCUUCCCUUAAAUCAACUCAUAUGCUUAUUUACAUGAAUUUACCUAAAACAGAAACUUGAUAUCACUUCUGUAAAUGAAAAAAUUAAACUUUCUGGCUUUAAAUAAAGCAUAACAAUAAUAAUCAUGUCAAAA